AUUGAACGCUGGCGGCAUGCUUUACACAUGCAAGUCGAACGGCAGCGCGGGCUUCGGCCUGGCGGCGAGUGGCGAACGGGUGAGUAAUGCAUCGGAACGUGCCCAGUAGUGGGGGAUAGCCCGACGAAAGCCGGAUUAAUACCGCAUACGACCUGAGGGUGAAAGCGGGGGUCCGAAAGGCCUCGCGCUAUUGGAGCGGCCGAUGUCGGGUUAGCUAGUUGGUAGGGUAAAGGCUUACCAAGGCGACGAUCCGUAGCUGGUCUGAGAGGACGACCAGCCACACUGGGACUGAGACACGGCCCAGACUCCUACGGGAGGCAGCAGUGGGGAAUUUUGGACAAUGGGGGCAAGCCUGACCCAGCCAUGCCGCGUGCGAGAAGAAGGCCUUCGGGUUGUAAACCGCUUUUGUUCGGGAAGAAAUCCUCUGGGCUAAUACCCCGGGGGGAUGACGGUACCGGAAGAAUAAGCACCGGCUAACUACGUG
rnacentral:rRNA from 1 species